rnacentral:rRNA from 1 species
CUCCCCGCUGAAAANUAAGCAUAUCAAUAAGCGGAGGAAAAGAAACCAACAGGGAUUGCCCCAGUAACGGCGAGUGAAGCGGCAAGAGCUCAAAUUUGAAAGCUGGCCCCCUCGGGGUCCGCAUUGUAAUUUGCAGAGGAUGCUUCGGGAGCGGUCCCCGUCUAAGUGCCCUGGAACGGGCCGUCAUAGAGGGUGAGAAUCCCGUAUGGGACGGGGUGUCCGCGCCCGUGUGAAGCUCCUUCGACGAGUCGAGUUGUUUGGGAAUGCAGCUCUAAAUGGGUGGUAAAUUUCAUCUAAAGCUAAAUAUUGGCCGGAGACCGAUAGCGCACAAGUAGAGUGAUCGAAAGAUGAAAAGCACUUUGAAAAGAGAGUUAAAAAGCACGUGAAAUUGUUGAAAGGGAAGCGCUUGCGACCAGACUCGCCCGCGGGGUUCAGCCGGCAUUCGUGCCGGUGUACUUCCCCGCGGGCGGGCCAGCGUCGGUUUGGGCGGCCGGUCAAAGGCCCUCGGAAUGUAACGCCUCUCGGGGCGUCUUAUAGCCGAGGGUGCCAUGCGGCCUGCCCGGACCGAGGAACGCGCUUCGGCUCGGACGCUGGCAUAAUGGUCGUAAGCGACCCGUCUUGAAACACGGACCAAGGAGUCUAACAUCUACGCGAGUGUUCGGGUGUCAAACCCGUGCGCGCAGUGAAAGCGAACGGAGGUGGGAACCCUCACGGGUGCACCAUCGACCGAUCCUGAUGUCUUCGGAUGGAUUUGAGUAAGAGCGUAGCUGUUGGGACCCGAAAGAUGGUGAACUAUGCCUGAAUAGGGCGAAGCCAGAGGAAACUCUGGUGGAGGCUCGCACGGUUCUGACGUGAAANUCGAUCGA